rnacentral:misc_RNA from 1 species
GCCAAACAAAACUUUCCAGUUCUUAACAAGUUGAUCAAUAGCCAUCCCAACAUUUGUAGGCACUUAGCAAAUAAAAAUUCAGGCAUUAGCUUUAGCUUGAGCUUGAGACACAAAGCCGGCCAUCACUUCUUGGUAUAUCCCUUGCUUGUCAAUCUAUCAACAUCUACCAACAGUGCCUCCUCUAAACUCGAGGAUAGCACUGCAUUAACCUUCCUAGCCAUUUGUGCACUCCACAUAACCAAUUUUCACUGUA